AGUGGCGGACGGGUGAGUAACGCGUGAGGAUCUGCCCUUAGGAUGGGGACAACAGUUGGAAACGACUGCUAAUACCCAAUGUGCCGAAAGGUGAAAGCUUUAGCGCCUGAGGAUGAACUCGCGUCUGAUUAGCUAGUUGGUAGUGUAAUGGACUACCAAGGCGACGAUCAGUAGCUGGUCUGAGAGGAUGAUCAGCCACACUGGGACUGAGACACGGCCCAGACUCCUACGGGAGGCAGCAGUGGGGAAUUUUCCGCAAUGGGCGAAAGCCUGACGGAGCAACGCCGCGUGAGGGAAGACGGCUCGUGGGUUGUAAGCCUCUUUUCUCUAGGAAGAAGAACUGACGGUACUAGAGGAAUCAGCAUCGGCUAACUCCGUGCCAGCAGCCGCGGUAAUACGGAGGAUGCAAGCGUUAUCCGGAAUUAUUGGGCGUAAAGCGUCCGUAGGCGGUUUUACAAGUCUGCUGUUAAAGCGUGCAGCUCAACUGCAUAUAGGCAGUGGAAACUGUAAGACUAGAGUGUAGUAGGGGUAGAGGGAAUUCCCAGUGUAGCGGUGAAAUGCGUAGAUAUUGGGAAGAACACCGGUGGCGAAAGCGCUCUACUGGGCUACAACUGACGCUGAUGGACGAAAGCUAGGGGAGCGAAAGGGAUUAGAUACCCCUGUAGUCCUAGCYGUAAACGAUGGACACUAGGUGUUG
rnacentral:rRNA from 1 species